rnacentral:misc_RNA from 1 species
CGCCGCCGCCGCUGCCGUUGUCUAUUGAGUCGGCUUGGCGUGGUUCGGUGGUGUUUGGUGUUGGGAGCAAAUGCGCGCGUUUAAAUUUCUAUGGAUCUAAUCUCCGUUUGGAAAGGUUCGACGGUGACGGAGGAGCGACGCCUUUGCAAGUCUCGGUGGAACGCCGCCUGAAGCCGGCUUUCCGGUAGACCGUGCGCCCGGGGAUACGCUUCGCGAUGGCGCUUCCCCCAAGACUGAUCUGUGCCGUAGUCGUACUGGUCGCGCUUUGGGUACCCAGUCACAGCAAGACGAGUUCAGACAAGGUGCUGGUCCUACCGGAUGACGUCUACCCUGGCCUUAGCGUGAAACAGCUUCCCUACCUGGGUCAGUCCUUUAGCCUGACCGGAGAACCCCGAGUAGCCCGUUGCUUCAGCAUGCUUAGCGACGGUCUGCUCAUGGUCGCCACCAACGUGUCCCAUUUGGUCGGGAAGCCGGGCAAGUUGGUUGUGACCGAGACAGACUUUCCGAGUUGGCCGCGCACGCAUCGAGAUCGCGAGCUGCUCGUGCACGUAAUUCCCAAGCAGCAGCUUCUCAAGUUUCCCAAGUCCGAGCUCCGGGGUGCCGUGCUCGAGAACGAGUGCGCCGGGACGACGGUGCUCGAGUUGGACGGUGCUACGCGGGACGCCAGCCGCGGCGUCAAGUACGAACUUGUGCCCGACGAGGACGGCAGCCACGAGGACUUCAGCGUGUCCCGGUUGUACGCCAACUCUACGCGGCUGGCUCUUCGCACCAGCCGGCCGUUGGAUCGCGAACGUCGCCGCCGCUACGAGCUGAAUCUUCGGGCCUCCGACGACGUUGACUCGGCGCUGACGCGCCUCUUGAUUGACGUGCUGGACGUGAACGACAACGACCCGGUGGCGGACAGGGAAGCGUACGUGUUUCGCGUUUCCCGCGACUCUGAGCCGUUCACCAUCGUGGGCAACGUGAGCGCUUCGGACGCGGACGGCGACAGCGUCAGCUUUCGCCUGGCCGAGCGCCACCCGUUCUUCACCGUGGUGCCCAAGACGGGCGAGCUCAUGGUCACGCGCGGCCUCGAGCCCAAGUCGUACCUGAUGAGCUUGCGUGUGGGCGACCGCGGCAAGCCACAGCGAUUCGGACGCGCUGUCGCCGUCAAGGUGGAGGUGUUCGAGCCGCCCACGCCGCGCAGCCUGGAAACUUCGCAGACGCGCGUGCGUCGCUCCACGGUCACGAUACGGCCGACCAAGACGUACCGCUUCGAGGAGACCAAGGGCCGCGACGUCAACAAGACUGUCUUCACUCUCGACAAGAAGGCGGUCGACGAGACCUUCGAGCUCGAGAAGGCCGAUCGCUGGGUCUACGUCAGCCCGAACGGCGACGUUCGCGUCAAGGAAAAAUGGGACUACGAGCAGCUGGAUAAGGAGAAGUCCAUCGACUUCUGGGUGCUGGCCCGGUCCCCUGGAAGAGCUGAGAAGGAGCGGCAACGAAUCAUCAUCCGGAUAGCGGACGUGAACGAUGAGCCUCCCUACUUUAUCAACCGGCCGAUUCCGAUGCAGGCUGUUGUACAGUUGAAUGCCCCGGCCGGCACUCCUGUCUUCAAGUUGCAGGCCAGGGAUCCGGACACGGACCACAAUAUUCGCUACUCUAUUGUGCGCGACAGGAGUGGCAACAGGUUUGACGUGGACCCGCAUUCGGGCGAGGUGGUGACCCUUGGCAAUGCACCAUUCAUGCUGGACAAGGAGUACGUGCUAUAUGUCAAGGCUGAAGAUCUGAAUGGCCAAGUUGGAGACAGACAGCACCAAUCAACACGUGAAGAACGCCUCUCAGUGGUUGGCGGCAAGCGCCAACCUCAGUUUUAUGUGCCAUUCUAUGAGGCUGUGAUACCGGAGAAUCAAAAGAAAGACUCUGACAUCAUCGAGGUGAAGGCCAAAUCUUUUGCCGAUCGGGAAAUUCGGUACACCCUGCGAGCCCAGGGCAAGGGAGCUGGUACCUUCAACAUCGGACCUACCAGUGGAGUGGUGAAGUUGGCCAAAGAGCUUGACUAUGAAGACCUCAGGCAGCCAAAGUCUUACUCCCUGAUUGUGACCGCAACUGAAGACUCUGGAGGAUUCUCAACAUCAGUUGAACUAACUAUCAAAGUUACUGAUGUUAAUGACAACGCUCCACGAUUUGAACUGCCCGAUUACCAAGCCCACAAUGUUGAUGAAGACAUAGCAGUAGGAACAUCGAUACUUCAAGUGUCAGCAACGGAUAUGGAUACAGGCCGUAAUGCUGAGCUCACAUACUCUCUUGAUAAAGAAGAUUUCACCAUUGACAGCAGGGGUGUAGUGUACUCCAACCGGCGUCUCGACGCUGAUGUAAACAACACGUAUGUGCUGACUGUGCGUGCCACGGACAGAGGGGAGCCUCCCUUGACAGGCACUGCCACAAUACGUAUCUACACUGAAAACAAGAACGAUGAGGCACCGAAGUUCAGCCAGGAUGUCUACACACCAAAUGUAGAUGAAAAUGCUGGACCCAGCACUCUUGUAACUACUGUAGUGGCCAGUGACAAGGAUGGCGAUAACAUCCUCUUCGGAUUUGUCAACAGUGGCACUACGUCUGGCAUGUUCCAGAUUGAGGAGAGAACAGGUGUUAUUCGACUCAUCAAUGGCCCCAUACACCUAGACAAAGACAAGUAUGAGCUCAAUGUGACAGCACGAGAUGAUGGUGCCUGCUGUCGCAAUGGGGCUUUGACCCCUCAUACAAGCACAGCCCUUGUGGUUGUAUUCAUAACAGAUGUAAAUGACAACAAGCCUGUUUUUGACGAGUGCCAGACGUAUACACCAAAGGUAGAAGAGGGUGCACAGAGUGGAACAUCAGUCAUCAAGGUGAAAGCAAAAGAUCUUGACAAGGGCCACAAUGGUCAAGUACGCUAUUCCAUUGUUCAGCAGCCUAAUCAAAAAGGCACGAAGUUCAGUGUCGAUGAGCUAACUGGAGAAAUCAGGACAAACAAGGUUUUCGACCGGGAAGGUGAUGAUGGCCGCUUUGUUAGUGUCACAGUAAAGGCAACGGAUCGUGGUAGCCCGCCCUUGGAAGGAGUUUGUUCAUUCAAAGUGGAAAUAACGGAUAUCAACGACAACCCGCCUCUAUUUGACAGACAAGAGUAUAGAGAAAAUGUGAAGCAGGAUACGCAGGUUGGGAUUCACAUCCUGAGAGUUUCUGCUUCUGAUGAAGAUGCAGAUAAUAAUGGUGCCAUUGUCUACAAUCUGACAGCACCUUAUGACCCUGAUCACCUGGCCUAUUUUUCCAUCAACCCAGACUCUGGCUGGAUAAGCCUGCAAAAGGCCCUUGAUCGUGAUCAAUAUCAGCUACGAGCCAUUGCACUGGAUAAAGGUGUUCCUCAACACCAAGCAACGGUAGAAGUCAUCAUUGAUGUGGUUGACAGGGCUAACAAUCCUCCCAUAUGGGACCAGCCUGUGUAUGGUCCCAUAUUUAUCAAGGAGAACCUCGAAGUCGGCAGCCGCGUCAUUUCUAUCAAAGCUAGAUCUGGAAUUCCAGAGAAUCCUGAUGUGUUCUACACGCUGAUGAAAGGAAGUACUGAGCAGACCAACAAGAAGGACACUUUCUAUUUGAACCAGAAGGUGGAGAAUGGCCACACAGUAGCAGAGCUGGUGGUCAAUUAUCCUCUUGAUUAUGAACGCAUCCAGCAGUACAAUCUCACCGUUCGGGUUGAGAACAAUGGCAUCCAACAGUUGGCAUCUGAAGCAACUGUCUACAUAGUCCUUGAGGACGUCAACGAUGAGAUCCCCCUCUUUAUAGAGCGAGAGCAAGAGACUGUGCUCGAAGGUUUGCCUGCGGGGACCAAGGUGACUACGGUCCAGGCACAAGACAAGGACGGCACCUACCCCAACAAUAAGGUUUACUAUGAUAUAGAAUCUCGAGACCAUGGUGACAAGUACUUUUCUAUCGACAAGGAUUCUGGAGACAUCUUUACAAGAGUAGAGUUUGACAGGGAGGAAAAGAUGGCCUAUGCAAUUUUGGUUCGGGCUGAAGAUGGUGCUCCAUCGGCGAGGCCUCACAUGACAGACAAUCGGCCUAACUCAGUGACCAAGUACAUCCGCAUUGGAAUCGGCGACAAGAACGACAACCCGCCGUACUUCGGCCAGGCACUCUACGAGGCUGAGGUAAACGAGGACGAGGAUGUGCAGCACACUGUCAUCACGGUCACUGCCAAGGACAAGGACGAAUCCUCGAGGAUACGCUACGAGAUCACCCAGGGGAACAUAGGAGGAGCGUUUGCGGUGAAAAAUGAGACUGGCGCCAUCUACGUGGCAGGCCCGCUCGACUACGAGACCAGGAAAGAGUUUAACUUGACACUGGUGGCAUCGGAUACCCUAUUUGAGGGCAGCACCACAGUUCUUAUCCACGUCAAAGAUGUCAACGAUCUUCCACCUGUUUUUGGCCAAUCCUCGUACGUGACCACCAUCGAAGAGGAGGUCUCCCACAAUUUGCCAAUGAAAAUUAUGACGGUGACAGCAACUGAUGGCGACAAGGACAGAGAGUCCUUGAUAGUUUACUUUCUGACGGGUCAAGGUGUUGAUGAAGACCCUGGUAACAGCAAGUUCGCAAUCAACACAACCACUGGAGAGAUAUAUGUACUAAAACCAUUGGACAGGGACCUUCCACAUGGGCGUUCCCAGUGGCGCUUCACUGUCUUUGCGGAGGAUGAAGGGGGCAACGGUUUGGUGGGCUUUGCGGACGUUCUCGUCAACCUCAAGGACGUCAAUGAUAAUGCCCCCUUCUUCCCAUCAGCAAUUUACACUGGCAAUGUCACAGAAAAUGGAACAGCUGGUAUGACUGUCAUGACAAUGACUGCUACAGACUAUGACGAUCCCAACGAAGGCAACAAUGCAAGACUUGCUUAUUCCAUCGAGCAAAAUCAGGUUAAUGAAAACGGGGAACUCAUUUUCACCAUCGAUGAAGAAACCGGUGUUAUCUCAACAGCAGUCUGCUGCUUAGAUCGUGAGACAAACCCAGAGUACACCAUCAAAGUAGUGGCAGUUGACGGUGGAGGGCUCAAAGGUACCGGGACCGCCACAAUCAAGAUCAAAGAUAUCAAUGACAUGCCGCCAGAGUUUACCAAAAAAGACUGGUUUGUAGAUGUUGAAGAAACUGAAGCAGACAAUAUUCCUGAGAACCCAAUCUUGGUUGUAUCAGUCAACGAUGGAGAUUUACUAGAAACUAAUCGGUUUAGCUACAAAGUUAUUGACAACACAUUUGGCUCUGAUAAAUUCACUAUGGUCACCAAUUCUGAUGGAACUGGAUCACUGAAGAUUGCCAAGCCUCUUGACUAUGAGGAUUUGCAGCAACGGUUUGGCUUCAAUAUCACUAUUCAAGUUAGCGACAAUGGUGGUGAAUCCACUGAUCCGUACCAUGCGGACUAUGCUAAAGUGAAAGUCAGAGUUAAGGACAUAAAUGACAACAAACCAGAGUUUGAACGUCCUAACAUUGAAGUGUCAGUCCCAGAGAACUCCACUGUUGGCUCAAGUCUUGCAACAUUCAAAGCCACAGAUGCUGACCAAGGCGGAAAGUCACGUGUCAGCUACAUGAUUGACCGUUCGUCUGACAAGAAGCGACAGUUCAAGAUUAAUCCUAAUGGUGUUGUUGAAAUUCAGCGAACACUUGACAGAGAGGACAUUCCGAGACAUCAAGUCAAGAUUCUGGCUAUUGAUGAUGGUGUGCCUUCACGGACAGCAACCGCAACAUUGACUGUCGUAGUUAGUGACAUCAACGACAACCCACCCAGAUUCCAGUAUGACUACAGGCCAGUCAUUCCAGAGCACACACCUCCCCAGAAAGUGCAAGAGAUUUUGGCCACUGAUGAUGACGAUCGUUCUAAAAACAACGGCCCUCCAUUUACUUUCCGCAUGGAUCCCAAUGCCCCAGAGCUUAUUCAGCAGUUCUUCAGAGUGGAACAUGACCCAACUGGUGCGAAUGGAGAUGGUAUGGCUGUGGUGCGAUCUCGAGAAACAUUUGACCGAGAGACGCAGAAGGAAUAUUUGGUUCCCAUUCUUAUCAAGGACAAUGGAAACCCAUCUCUCACGGGGACGUCUACUCUCACUGUCAUUAUUGGAGAUGUUAAUGACAACCGCAUGCACCCUGGCAGCAAAAGCAUCUUUGUGUACAACUUCAAGGGGGAGUCUCCACCAACAAAAAUUGGACGCAUUCAUGUUGAGGACCUGGACGAUUGGGACUUGCCUGAUAAGACAUUCUUUUGGGAGAAUAAUAAUGCUCAUCCUAACUUCGACAUGGAUGGCCACACAGGCAUGAUCACUAUGCUCAACUCAACAGGAGCUGGCACCUAUCAUUUACGCUUCUUAGUGUACGACCGUAUGCAUACAAUGGAUGCCCAUGCCAACGUGACAGUAACUGUCAAAGAAAUCCCUGAGGAAGCCAUCUACAAUUCUGGCUCCAUACGCGUCACUGGCAUUACUGAUGAAGAUUUUAUAAGGGUUUGGGACUGGAAAAAGCAACGACAAGUGAAAAGCAAAUAUGAAAUCUUUCGAGAUCUGAUUGCUGAGCGAAUCAAGACAAAGCCGUAUAAUGUCGACAUCUUCAGCGUCAUCCUCAAGCAGUCACGCCCACCUAUAACUGAUAUACGGUUCUCUGCUCAUGGUUCUCCAUAUUACAAGGCCAGUUUACUAAAUGGUGUGAUUGCAGUGAAUCGGCGAGAGAUUGAAGAGAAAGUGGGCAUUAACAUUACUAUGGUGGGCAUUGAUGAGUGCCUCCUGGAAAAUCACAAUUGUGAAGGUAGCUGCACUAAUGUGCUUAUGAUUGAUCGUAACCCUGUAAUGGUGAACGCUAAUCGAACAUCCUUUGUGGGAGUGAAUACUUGGGUGAAGGCAAAGUGUACGUGUGGUGCUCGAGACUUUUCCGACAUCGAAUCCUGCCGCAAAAGACCUCCUCCAUGCUACAACAAUGGCCGUUGUGUCGACACAUAUACAGGAAUCAGCUGUCGGUGCCAGUCUGGAUUCCAUGGACCACAGUGUCAACAAACUACACGACAUUUCAAUGGCAAGGGCUGGGCUUGGUUCCCUCCUUUACAGCAGUGUGAAGACUCCCAUCUGAGCCUAGAGUUUAUGACAGAGCGCCCAACCGGACUACUGUUGUACAAUGGGCCUAUCUCCCGGCCUGACCCAGGGGAAAUAGUCAUUCAAGACUUCAUUUCUCUGGAACUCAAUGCAGGAAGGCCUAGGCUGCUUUUAGACUUCGGUUCUGGCACAGCAGAACUCUUUGUUGAUGUUGAGGAGCAUCUCAACAAUGGCAAUUGGCACCGACUGGAUGUGUUUUGGGACCGACAGUCUGUACGAUUAAUGGUUGACAACUGCAUGCUAGCACGAACUCACGAGGGAAAUCAAACCAUUGAUCGAUCCCGUUGUGAGAAUAGCACUCAGGUGCCGGAGUUCAACGAGUUCCUGAACGUAAAUACUCCACUUCAGUUGGGCGGAACUCAUGUUGGGGGCAAAGACCUUGGUGCAUAUGCUUGGCGGCAUCGACAUACCACAGAGGGAUUUCAAGGCUGUAUUAAAAAUGUUGUCCAUAACAGUGAGAUGUAUGACCUUGGCUCUCCUGGAAGCUCAUACAACAGUGUGACUGGCUGUCCUCCUGCUGAGAGCUCGUGCAGUGAGGCAGCACUACUUCACCAGUCCUGUGGUCAUGGCCACUGCCUGGGUACCUACAAAGGAGCAGAAUGUGUUUGUGACCCUGGCUGGCAUGGGCCAAAUUGUGACCGGGAAACACAGUCCAAGAUGUUCCAACAAAGCAGCUACAUCAAGUACGCACUGCCAUUUGAUCCUCAUCCGUACAAGACUGACAUCCAACUGCAGUUUCGUACGCGUCAAAAGCACGGAGAGCUUUUCCGCAUCACAAGCAAACAUGGACGGGAGUACUGCAUUCUUGAGAUCCGGGACAAGAAGCUGCGCUUUCGAUUCAACCUCGACCGAAGUCGCUCCUCUGAAGAGCGUGAGCUGUGGCUUCCAUGGGUGUGGGUGAAUGAUGGCCAGUGGCAUACAGUGCGUGCCCUGCGCUAUGGUGCUUCAGCCAGCCUGGCUCUAGAUGGAGGCAGUGGGCGGCGCUUCAACGAGCUUUUGGAUUGGCAAAGUCCCCACCAGCACAUGUGGGUUGAGAAGCAGAAUGUCAUUGCAGGUGGAGAUGUCCAGUAUGUUGGUCCUGGUGUGACUGUUGUUGACAACGAUUAUCAAGAAGGCUGUAUGAAUGACAUCCGGCUGGAUCAACACUAUUUACCAAUGGAGAGUGGUUCUGAAUAUGCAGCUGUAGUCGAAUGGCGCAACCUAAUUGAUGGAUGUCCAUCCAACAACCCCUGCCAUGGUAUCAGUUGUCCACGACCCUUCGUUUGUGUAGACCUGUGGAUGCUCCAUGAAUGCAGGUGUUCCCCUGGCUUUGCUGUAACGGAAAAUGGCAAGAACUGCACUGAUGCGGAUGAGUGCCUGACGGAGCCGUGUCUCAAUGGCGGCACCUGCAUGAACCGGCCACAUGGCGAGGGCUUCUACUGCCUAUGCCCGGACGGUUUUGGGGGCGACCUGUGUGGCGCUUUGCGACAAGAGAAGAUAAUGCGUCUCAGUAUGGCUGCCUUGGCUGCCAUCCUGGUCUGUCUGCUCAACAUUCUCAGUGUGUGGAAGGUUUCACACCAACGGAAGACCGACUUGACUGUGAGGACAAGGACGAGUGCCUGGACGAGCCAUGUGGUUACACGGGUCAGUGCACCAAUCUGCCCCAUGGCCAAGGCCACACAUGCCUCUGCCAUGAAAGCCUCGAGUGCCACAACUGCAGCUGCUUUGACGUUGGUGCUGGUGCACGCAUGACCAACACAUCCCUUGCCCUUGGGCUGGAAGCCCUGCUCAUUAUCCUGGCCUGUCUAGUGGUGUACCUGCUUUUGGUCUUGGUGAUUGUGGCAUACACACGGAGUCGGCGCUCAGAUCAGAAAUUUGGCCAUGGUGGAGUGGAUGAUGAUGUACGAGAGAACAUCAUUAGCUAUGAUGAUGAAGGUGGUGGAGAAGACGACAUGAAUGCUUAUGACAUAACACCACUGCGAAUACCAGUUGAUGCAUCUGGUAUGCAGAUUGGUGCUAAGCCUGGUCCAGAGAAAGCACCAACUCUGCAGACGGAAGUGCGUGUGC